GGGACACGUGGUAUCCUGUCUGAAUAUGGGGGGACCAUCCUCCAAGGCUAAAUACUCCUGACUGACCGAUAGUGAACCAGUACCGUGAGGGAAAGGCGAAAAGAACCCCGGCGAGGGGAGUGAAAAAGAACCUGAAACCGUGUACGUACAAGCAGUGGGAGCACGCUUAGGCGUGUGACUGCGUACCUUUUGUAUAAUGGGUCAGCGACUUAUAUUCUGUAGCAAGGUUAACCGAAUAGGGGAGCCGAAGGGAAACCGAGUCUUAACUGGGCGUUAAGUUGCAGGGUAUAGACCCGAAACCCGGUGAUCUAGCCAUGGGCAGGUUGAAGGUUGGGUAACACUAACUGGAGGACCGAACCGACUAAUGUUGAAAAAUUAGCGGAUGACUUGUGGCUGGGGGUGAAAGGCCAAUCAAACCGGGAGAUAGCUGGUUCUCCCCGAAAGCUAUUUAGGUAGCGCCUCGUGAAUUCAUCUCCGGGGGUAGAGCACUGUUUCGGCAAGGGGGUCAUCCCGACUUACCAACCCGAUGCAAACUGCGAAUACCGGAGAAUGUUAUCACGGGAGACACACGGCGGGUGCUAACGUCCGUCGUGAAGAGGGAAACAACCCAGACCGCCAGCUAAGGUCCCAAAGUCAUGGUUAAGUGGGAAACGAUGUGGGAAGGCCCAGACAGCCAGGAUGUUGGCUUAGAAGCAGCCAUCAUUUAAAGAAAGCGUAAUAGCUCACUGGUCGAGUCGGCCUGCGCGGAAGAUGUAACGGGGCUAAACCAUGCACCGAAGCUGCGGCAGCGACGCUGAUGCGUUGUUGGGUAGGGGAGCGUUCUGUAAGCCUGCGAAGGUGUGCUGUGAGGCAUGCUGGAGGUAUCAGAAGUGCGAAUGCUGACAUAAGUAACGAUAAAGCGGGUGAAAAGCCCGCUCGCCGGAAGACCAAGGGUUCCUGUCCAACGUUAAUCGGGGCAGGGUGAGUCGACCCCUAAGGCGAGGCCGAAAGGCGUAGUCGAUGGGAAACAGGUUAAUAUUCCUGUACUUGGUGUUACUGCGAAGGGGGGACGGAGAAGGCUAUGUUGGCCGGGCGACGGUUGUCCCGGUUUAAGCGUGUAGGCUGGUUUUCCAGGCAAAUCCGGAAAAUCAAGGCUGAGGCGUGAUGACGAGGCACUACGGUGCUGAAGCAACAAAUGCCCUGCUUCCAGGAAAAGCCUCUAAGCAUCAGGUAACAUCAAAUCGUACCCCAAACCGACACAGGUGGUCAGGUAGAGAAUACCAAGGCGCUUGAGAGAACUCGGGUGAAGGAACUAGGCAAAAUGGUGCCGUAACUUCGGGAGAAGGCACGCUGAUAUGUAGGUGAAGUCCCUCGCGGAUGGAGCUGAAAUCAGUCGAAGAUACCAGCUGGCUGCAACUGUUUAUUAAAAACACAGCACUGUGCAAACACGAAAGUGGACGUAU
rnacentral:rRNA from 1 species